AUUUCCAGAAAAGCGACGGACAGU
rnacentral:miRNA from 1 species